AUGAUCGAAGCUGAAUACACCGAGCGAUUUUUCUCUCAUAUAUUUUGGGAGUCCAAGCCAGAUUUCUGAUCUAU
rnacentral:snoRNA from 1 species